AGCAAAGUGGGACGCAUGGAAGGCUGUUGAAGGAAAAUCCACCGAUGAAGCUAUGAACGACUACAUUUCCAAGGUGAAACAGUUGCUGGAAGAAGCUGCUGCUUCAGCUUAAGGCUCUGUGUCUAUAUUGGACUAUGUAAUCUUAUUUUCCAGUGGCUGGUCUGAUUUUAGUGUUACAGCAGGUGUUUGCUUUUCCAGGCUGAAAAACAAUGCUGCUAUAAGCAUGUUUGAACCUUAUGUUAAUAAAAAGCAAAAAGAAGUUUGAAUUUGGUUUUCUUUUUA